rnacentral:rRNA from 1 species
UACGUAGGGUGCGAGCGUUAAUCGGAAUUACUGGGCGUAAAGCGUGCGCAGGCGGUUCGUUGUGUCGGUGGUGAAAGCCCCGGGCUUAACCUGGGAACUGCGCUUGUAACUGGCAAGCUAGAGUGUGGCAGAGGGGGGUGGAAUUCCACGUGUAGCAGUGAAAUGCGUAGAGACGUGGAGGAACACCGAUGGCGAAGGCAGCCCCCUGGGCUAACACUGACGCUCAUGCACGAAAGCGUGGGGAGCAAACAGG